UACGUAGGGUGCAAGCGUUAAUCGGAAUUACUGGGCGUAAAGCGUGCGCAGGCGGUGAUGUAAGACAGAUGUGAAAUCCCCGGGCUCAACCUGGGAACUGCAUUUGUGACUGCAUCGCUGGAGUACGGCAGAGGGGGAUGGAAUUCCACGUGUAGCAGUGAAAUGCGUAGAGAUGUGGAGGAACACCGAUGGCGAAGGCAGCCUCCUGGGCCAGUACUGACGCUCAUGCACGAAAGCGUGGGGAGCAAACAGG
rnacentral:rRNA from 1 species